AUUGAACGCUGGCGGCAGGCCUAACACAUGCAAGUCGAGCGAGCGGCGGACGGGUGAGUAAUGUAUGGGGACUGCCCGAUAGCGGGGGAUAACUACUGGAAACGGUGGCUAAUACCGCAUACUGUCGGAUACGCCAUAUGGGAUUAGCUAGUAGGUAAGGUAAUGGCUUACCUAGGCGACGAUCCCUAGCUGGUCUGAGAGGAUGAUCAGCAACACUGGCACGGAGACAGGGCCCAGACGCCAAGGGAGGCAGCAGUGGGGAAUAUUGUACAAUGGGCGGAAGCCUGAUGCAGCCAUGCCGCGUGUAUGAAGAAGGCCCUAGGGUUGUAAAGUACUUUCAGUCGGGAGGCGUUACCGAAAGAAGAAGCACCGGCUAACUCCGUGCCAGCCGCCGCGGUAAUUC
rnacentral:rRNA from 1 species